AGCUCGACGUGGGGCUCGAACCCAUGAACCGUGAGAUCAGGACCUGAGCCGAAGUUGGAUGCUCAACCGACUGAGCCACCCAGGGGCCCCUAAAGAUUUCUUUUCUAGAAAGAGAUAGAUGGUAAGCACACGAAAACUUUUCUUGCUUCCCAGUUAAAACCUGCCACUCCUGAGAAAUUUCUUCCUAAUGAAUUAGAGAAAACAAAAUCCACUAAAUACAGCACGUGGCAGGGAAGCAGACACACAAAGGUGCUGUUCUUAUUUGCCAUGGAAUUGUGUUGGGUGCUUGACUUCUUAGAGACCUCUUACCUGCCCACCUUACAGACAGGUGUGGGAUGGGAAAUCUGGACACCCAGUGGGCAGUUUUUCCUUUUGGGCCAUUCAUUCCCAAGAUCCCCGGAAUAAGCUAAUUCCUCUAUAGCUUCCCACGCUGAGUUGCUAAGGGUGGAAGAAGAUUGCUUACAUUACGGGGGUAGAAGCUUAAUCCUCGGCCCUACAGUUGGGGCGUCUGAAACAGGCGUGUGAAAAUAAACCAUACACGCAUUUAUUUUUAAAGCCUCCCCCAUAGCCGCAGCAUAUCGGGAUUCGUACCAAAGGGCCUUAACUACUGGUGCGUCACUCCAUGAUGGUGAAUGAAGUGCUCAGAGCCCAGAGGGUCCAUCUUGUAGAUGAGACCCGGGGCUGCCACACUUGGCCCCCAUCAGGGUGCAGAGUUGGCUGAGGGAAUGUGGGUCCUUCAGUACGACCUCCGCUAUUCCAUUGGAAGUGACCAUCAGCGCCUCCUGCUGGUGGGGUUGUUCACCCGGGCAGGUGAAGGCACAAUGAAUUGGGCACCAGGAAACAGGUUCCAGGCAGUGAUGCUGACAGACUGUGUGACCGCUCUUUUUUCUAUCCUGCCUCCAGUUCUUCGGCUAGAAUCCAGAGGGUUCUAUUAGGCCCUCUGUUAUGCAGUGGUCGUAUUAGCUGGCUAAGGCUGCUGCCAUAACGUGCCACAGACUGAGCACCGGAAGCAAUGGAGAUUUAUUUUCUCACAGUUUUGGGAGCCGGAAGUCUGAAAUCAAGCUGUCUGCAGUGCCCAGAGGAGACUUGUCGGGAAAUUUACUCCUCACUUCAUAGGGAAGAGGCUAGGAAAAGGUGACUUUCUCCUUUGGGAAUCGCAGACGGAGCAGCUGGGAGCACAACAGCCAUCAUUGCCAAAGGCAAACCGAGAAAAUCCUCCCUGUGACAAAUCCAAGAACAGUUUGAUUUAGACUUUGUGCUGGGGGAGAGGCAGAUGACUGAUGAGAGAGCACCAUCAUGGAGCCCACGCCAGCUUUCCACAUGCUUACCCUGGAUUUUAGCAGUAAAUUGUUGGGUGUUCACAUAGUGUGUUAUUUACUGUAUGGCACUUUAUCUGUGUUUAUAAACCAUAGACUUGGUUUUCCUGCCAACUUCAGUGUGGGAUAAUUGAAAUUAAAAAGAAAGAAACCAAGUG